rnacentral:lncRNA from 1 species
UUGGAGUCGUUAAUAAUUUAUCAUAAGAUAGCAUUUAGAGAUGUUGUGGAUGAGCUGGCCUGGAACGAGUUUUAGGCUUUCUGAUGAUGUUUUUGCUGGUGAAAGUGAUUUCAAAUCAUGAUGAGAUUUUGACAUUAUAUUGUGUGAAGUUGUUUCAUAUUAUAUUUUUUAGCUGUUUUAACUUCUAUCUUUAUGUGGUUUAAACUAUAUUGUGAAUUUUGUAAUGAAAUGAACUACAAUUAGACAUUUUUGUUUUUGAAUAAUUCUUGAUCAUUACUUUAACUCAGGGGCAUAUAGAAAUUUAGUGAAUGAGCUGGCUCAAGCAGGACAUUUGGCAUUUUAAGUCGUCUUGAUAUUGUAAUUAUUGGCCUGAAAUUGCUAGAGUUCUCUCAUUUGUUUUUUGAUCAUAGCUUGAACAAGCUUUUUCUCGAGCAGAGCUACAGAGAUGAAUAAUUUAGAGUACAUUCAACAUAUUUUAGCUUAUGAAACUAAGUUUAAACCAGGUUGAGAAAGAAAUUGCGCUUCAAAAUGCACUUGUUUAAACUUUGAAAAUUAUUGGACAAGCUUUAGGAGUCAAAUAUGGGCUGGUCUCGGGUGCCUCAGGCCUAUCUACUACUACCUUGUAGAAAUUUAAGGUCUGGGGGUAACAUGGAAGGUGGGUUUUCCAUUUUGGAGUAUUAGACUAUUAGAACAAGGUGAAAUAUUGCUAAUAUAUCAUCUACUGUAGUUGAUGUAGUCACACAGGCUUGUUUGGAUGGACUGAUUUGGAUACUUAGGAUAGUAUUUGAUGCUACGGGUAAUGCUGUUUCAGAAAUCUGGGAUGAAAAGGAAAAUGUUGGCAUGAAAAAGUUUGAAGUGUAUGGAGAAAUUUUGGACUAGUAUUGAAAUCAUUAGAUUAGUUUCCCAGGAGUUAAGAUAUGGAUACCUGUUAUUUUGGUGCAAACUCUUGGGACUUAAUGAUAUAUAAUGAUAUAAGAGAGUAGACAUGUAAUGUUUUAACUUUAAAGGAUAGUUUCAUGGAUAAAAAAGUUAAUUUGUAAUUGGUGUAGAAUGUACAAUUUUAAAUUUGAUGGAGUUGAAUAAUGUUUUUAGGUACCUACUGGUUAACUUUCAGGAAAUAAUACAAAACCUCAUCUAGUUUCUUGAUGUGAAGAUUGCUCUUGUUGAAAGUUCCACAUUAUUUAAGGAUAUUGUUGUUGGAAUGGGCAUUAAUGAGCACAUUGGCGUGUAGAGAACUUUUUGAAU